AUGGGGACCGGCGGCGGCGACGGCGACGCGGCGGCGGUGCGCACCGCGGGGGAGGCGGCGCGGAUGGUCUGGGAGGAGUCCCGGCGCCUCUGGGGCAUCGGCACGCCCAUCGCCAUCGCCACGCUCAGCCUCUUCGCCGUCAGCUCAGUCACCACCGUCUUCGUCGGCCACCUCGGCAACCUGCCCCUCGCCGCCGCCUCCAUCGGCCUCUCCGUCUUCUCCACCUUCUCCUUCGGGUUCCUCCUGGGCAUGGGGAGCGCGCUGGAGACGCUGUGCGGGCAGGCGUUCGGCGCCGGCCAGGUGGCGAUGCUGGGCGUCUAUCUGCAGCGCUCCUGGAUCGUGCUCAUCGCCGCCUCCCUCCUCAUGGUGCCCUUCUACGCCCUCGCCGAGCCUCUCCUCCUCGCCAUCGGCCAGGACGCCGCCGUGGCGCGCGAGGCGGCCCGGUUCGCGCUCCGCAUCCUGCCCGGCGCGCUCUCCUUCGCCGUAAACUUCCCCACCGCCAAGUUCCUGCAGGCGCAGAGCAAGGUGCUGGUGCUGGCCUGGGUCGGCGUGGCCGGGCUCGGCUUCCACGCCGCGCUCACCUACCUCCUCGUCGCCGUCCUCGGCUGGGGCCUCCCCGGCGCCGCCGCCGCCUACGACGUCUCGCUCUGGGCCAUCGCGCUCGCCCAGGCCGCCUACAUCGUCGGCUGGUGCCGGGACGGCUGGCGGGGCUGGUCCGUGGCCGCGUUCAGCGACAUGUGGGCCUUCGUCAGGCUCUCGCUCGAGUCCGCCGUCAUGCUCUGCCUCGAGAUCUGGUACAUCGGCAUGAUCACUGUCCUCACCGGCCACCUCCAGGACGCCCAGAUCGCCGUCGACUCCCUCGGCAUCUGCAUGAAUGUGAACGGAUGGGAGGGCAUGAUCUUCAUCGGCCUCAACGCGGCCAUCAGCGUUCGAGUCUCCAACGAGCUGGGCUCCGGCCGGCCAAGGGCGGCGAAGCACGCGGUCAUGGUCGUCGUCGGCGAGUCGCUGCUAAUCGGGCUGCUCUGCAUGGCCCUCGUGCUCAUCUUCAGAGACAGCUUCUCCAUCAUCUAUACCACCGACUCGGAGCUCCAGCACGCCGUCUCCAGGAUCGCGGGGCUGCUUGGCCUCACCAUGGUCCUCAACAGCGUGCAGCCCGUGCUUUCAGGGGUCGCCAUUGGAGGAGGGUGGCAGGGCCUUGUCGCAUACAUCAACCUCGGCUGCUACUACAUCUUCGGGUUGCCCCUGGGAUAUCUCCUCGGCUACAAGUUCAACUAUGGAGUUGGGGGGAUUUGGGCCGGCAUGCUUUGCGGGAUUGCACUUCAGACACUGAUCUUAAUCUUCAUAGUGUGGAGAACGGAUUGGAACGCAGAGGCUGCGCUGGCUUCAAGCCGUGUGCGAAAGUGGGGCGGCGCAGAUGUAACCAAGCCUCUCCUGGAGUAG
rnacentral:rRNA from 1 species